rnacentral:rRNA from 1 species
UACGAGGGGGCAAGCGUUGUUCGGAAUUAUUGGGCGUAAAGGGCGCGUAGGCGGUUUGACAAGUCUGAUGUGAAAUCUAUGGGCUCAACCCAUAGCCUGCAUUAGAAACUGUCGGGCUUGAGUAUGGGAGAGGUGAGUGGAAUUUCCGGUGUAGCGGUGAAAUGCGUAGAUAUCGGAAGGAACACCUGUGGCGAAAGCGGCUCUCUGGGACGGUACUGACGCUGAGACGCGAAAGCGUGGGGAGCGAACAGG